rnacentral:rRNA from 1 species
GAUGAACGCUGGCGGCGUGCCUAAUACAUGCAAGUCGAGCGAACAGAUGAGGAGCUUGCUCCUCUGACGUUAGCGGCGGACGGGUGAGUAACACAUGGAUAACCUACCUAUAAGACUGGGAUAACUUCGGGAAACCGGAGCUAAUAACGGAUAAUAUAUUCAACCGCAUGGUUCAAUAGUGAAAGACGGUUUUGCUGUCACUUAGAGAUGGAUCCGCGCUGCAUUGGCUAGGUGGUAAGGUAACGGCUUACCAAGGCAACGGUGCGUAGCCGACCUGAGAGGGGUCUCGGCCACAGUGGGACAGCGACCCUAUCCAGACUGCUACGGGGGGCAGCAGUAGAGAAUCGGCCGAAAGGGGCGAAAGUCUGCCAGAGCAACGCCGCGUGUGUAGUAACGGUCUGCGGGGCAUAAAGCUCUUUUAGUGGGAAAGAACAAGUGGGUGAGUAGCUACGCGUGUUGAGGGUACCCGUAGAAGAAGCACCGGGUAACUCCGUG